rnacentral:rRNA from 1 species
CUAGAGUUCUGGGCCGCACGCGCGCUACACUGACGGAGCCAGCGAGCUUUUCCUUAACCGAGAGGUUUGGGUAAUCUUGUGAAACUCCGUCGUGCUGGGGAUAGAGCAUUGUAAUUAUUGCUCUUCAACGAGGAAUUCCUAGUAAGCGCAAGUCAUCAGCUUGCGUUGAUUACGUCCCUGCCCUUUGUACACACCGCCCGUCGCUAGUACCGAUUGAAUGGCUUAGUGAGGCUUCAGGAUUUGCUUAGAUCGAGGGGCAACUCUCUUUCAGAGCGGAGAAUCUAGUCAAACUUGGUCAUUUAGAGGAACUAAAAGUCGUAACAAGGUUUCCGUAGGUGAACCUGCGGAAGGAUCAUUAGAUUGAAUUAUCAUUGUUGCUCGAGUUCUUGUUUUAAAUCUUUUACAACUAAGGGGUAUCUUUAU